rnacentral:ncRNA from 1 species
UUGAGCCGUGUGCGGUGAAAGCCGCCUGCACGGUUUUUAGGAGAGAGGAUGGUAGUGAUACCGUCCUCUUAUCCGAC